CGGGGCUCGGGCGCACGCCGCGCGCGUCGGCCAGCGCCCUGAGCGGGUCGACGCGACCCUCGGCGCCGCCCUUGUUCAUCAUCAUGAGGUUCAUCGACAGAUCCAUGGUCGCGCCUCUGUUGCCGCAGCGGUGAAAGCAAGAGACGACGCCGGCAGAGAGGCAAAUCGAGAUGCGGGUCGGAGGACCUGCCGCCGAAAAAGGGAGAGACAGAAAAAAAGGGACCCGGAGCCUGGCCCUUUCCUCGCUGCGGUCCGCCUUUUUUUUUGGUGUGCUCGAUGCCGCCUGGUGUUCUCUCUUCCGGUGGCAACGGGCAGGGGCGCGCUCAGACUUUUGUGCGAUCCCGACCUGUGUGGGGCUCUCUCUCUCUUUUGGUUUUUCGGCCUCCUCCGUGUUCUCUUGUGCCUCUGUCGGGUCGUGCACACUCGGGACGGGCCAGAAAAGAGCCCCAGCGCCUUUUUCUUGUGCCGGCCCGCACAUCACCUCCCCCCGUUUCCGCCGCGUCGACAAAAAGGCGUGCGCGCGCACAGAGAGCACACGCCCGCGCGCGUCGUCCUUUGUCAUCUUUUUUUUCGGCAUCCCCAGCACGGGGACAAAAAAUACAGAUCGAGGGCGCCGUUGCAGACCAAUGGCGCAUCGCCAGACUCGCGACAACCCCCAAGACCGAAAUGAAAACCAUGAAAAAGAAAAUAAAAAACCGCGCAAUAGCGGCGGGUCCCCUGCGCGCCACUUCACCCG
rnacentral:lncRNA from 1 species